GAUGAACGCUGGCGGCGUGCCUAAUACAUGCAAGUCGAGCGAAUGGAUUAAGAGCUUGCUCUUAUGAAGUUAGCGGCGGACGGGUGAGUAACACGUGGGUAACCUGCCCAUAAGACUGGGAUAACUCCGGGAAACCGGGGCUAAUACCGGAUAACAUUUUGAACCGCAUGGUUCGAAAUUGAAAGGCGGCUUCGGCUGUCACUUAUGGAUGGACCCGCGUCGCAUUAGCUAGUUGGUGAGGUAACGGCUCACCAAGGCAACGAUGCGUAGCCGACCUGAGAGGGUGAGCGGCCACACUGGGAAGGAGACACGGCCAAGACUCCUACGGGAGGCAGAAGUAGGGAAUCUUCCGCAAUGGACGAAAGUGUGACGGAGCAACGCCGCGUGAGUGAUGAAGGCUUUCGGGUCGUAAAACUCUGUUGUUAGGGAAGAACAAGUGCUAGUUGAAUAAGCUGGCACCUUGACGGUACCUAACCAGAAAGCCACGGCUAACUACGUGCCAGCCGCCGCAGUAA
rnacentral:rRNA from 1 species